rnacentral:lncRNA from 1 species
CGAAGUCAUCGCAAGUGACCUAUACGGUACUACACUGCACACGAGUCGGAACCCCUGAAAAGGUCUAUGCGACAGAACUGGUUGUAAUAUAGUUAUGCUCAUGCUAUCCUCUCCUGAUAGCUAUGUGAUAAAUCGCUAGUCACCUACAAGUCGUAACCACCUCUAAUGGUUUGUACGACAUGUUGGAACCACCUCUAAUGGUCUGUACGACAUGCACCUAAAUUGGAUCCAAUUGUGAGCAUAUGGUGCGGGGGUGACUAUAUAUAUACAGGCCUGAAUCAUCUUUACUAAAUCACAAUCACCCUAGUGCAGGUUUAUGAGCUUUCAAUCAUAUCAACUCAACAAUUACAUAAUUUAAUUUAUGAACUUACCUAGCACUUACCUGUGUGUCCGCAGCACCAAUCAUGCAUGUAUGCAAUUACUAAUGCAUAAAUAAUUAGGCAUAUAUUUUGCAUGGCAUUUCAUAUCGCAUUUCAU